AUUGAUGUCACAAGCCCAGGCUUCUGACUUUAUUGCAUAAUGCAGUAGCAACUGGAUUUGCAGAAGAAACACCCUGCUAAAGAACAAGUGUCUUGGUUCACAGCAAAGAGGACAAAGGAAAACAGCAAGUCAUAGGGGGUUGAAUCCUGGAUUCAUACCAGGAGGAGAAGGUGGGUUGCAGUAUUCACCCAUGUCUCGUCUCUGGAAUAAAAGGGUGACUCCCAAGGAAACACAUGCCAAUUUGAACAUAGGAGGAGUACUUGCUCACACCCCCAUCUGCCUUAAUAGAAUAUCUGUUAACAACAUGAUUUCUGAAACAGGAGUCAGGAAGAGAGGAAAGAAAAUGGCUAACUUUGCUCUGAGAGUGAAUGCUAUAUUUUUAAGGUCAGUGCCUGAAAUGU